CCUUUAUCACGUUGAAACAUCGGUUCUCGUACGAUCACCGAAGUUAAGCAACGUCGAGCCUGGUCAGUACCUAGAUGGGUGACCGCUUGGGAAUACCAGGAACUGUAAG